rnacentral:rRNA from 1 species
GGGUCCGGACACACUGAGGAUUGACAGGCAAUAUUAAUACGUUUUGCUUCGGUAAACGCGUAUUAUGUUAAAUAUGCUAGUCCUUUCAUGAUUAUGUGAUAGGUGGUGCAUGGCCGUUCUUAGUUCGUGGAGUGAUCUGUCUGCUUAAUUGCGUUUCACUAAGGGCCUAUAAAUUUACGUGUGUUGCAUCGCACUUUGACCCCUUUCUUUAAUUAGAGAGCGCGUGUCUUAGUUUUCGCUUUGCUCAUACAAUUAGGUCCUGAAAGCAACGAACGUGACCGCAACCUCUUGUUGCCUUUAUACCAAACAUGUUUUGCGUCAAUUUUUACGAAUUGCGCGCAUUUCAUGAAAAAAGGCUUUUUAAACUAGAGGGACCGCUGUUACUUUCUUAAACCAGAGGAAGGUUGCGGCAAUAACAGGUCUGUGAUGCCCUUAGAUGUUCCGGGCUGCACACGUGCUACAAUGAUUAUUGCAGUGAGCAUCUCAUUUUUACACACCGCAUGCGCGAGUCCAUUUAUUCACCUUCGGGUGUUUUAAAUGUGUAUCUCUGCGCGCGGUAAAGCCUGCUUCGACAGUAUGUGGGU